rnacentral:rRNA from 1 species
GACGAACGUUGGCGGUGCGCUUAAUGCAUGCAAGUCGAGGGAGAACCGUCCGUUCCGCAAGGUUCGGAUUGGGGAAACCGGCGAACGGGUGCGUAACACGUGAGGAAUCUGCCCCAAAGACCGGGAUAGCCCGGGGAAGCCCGGAUUAAUACCGGAUACCCUCUUCGGACCGCAUGGUCUGAUGAGGAAAUGGUCAGCCGCUUUGGGAUGGCCUCGCGGCCUAUCAGCUUGUUGGUGAGGUAACGGCUCACCAAGGCUAAGACGGGUAGCUGGUCUGAGAGGACGAUCAGCCACACUGGGACUGAGACACGGCCCAGACUCCUACGGGAGGCAGCAGCAGGGAAUAUUGCACAAUGGGCGAAAGCCUGAUGCAGCGACACCGCGUGCGGGAUGAAGGCCCUCGGGUUGUAAACCGCUUUCAGGAGGGACGAAACUGACGGUACCUCCAGAAGAAGGCCCGGCCAACUACGUG